AUACUUAUCUGGCAUGGGAGAUACCAUGACCACGAAGGUGGUUUUCCCAGGGCGAGGCUUAUCCAUUGCACUCCUGCUAACCCCUGCGGAUUUCCCCAAAUGUGGGAAACUCAACUGCAUAAUUUGUGGCAGUGGGGGACUGCAGUCACACUCUCCCCUG
ensembl:snRNA U1 U1 spliceosomal RNA